rnacentral:pre_miRNA from 1 species
UGUCGGCAACCAUGUUGGUGCGUCGUGGUAUGCUGAUGGUGUAUUCAUACCCGUAAUGCCAACAUGCAUGCUUGCAC